GCUUGACUGACUACGUCACAGCGGUAAAUAGUCCGUGAAAAAGUUUGCGCAAACAAAUUGAUGUUUUAAGACACGACAGUCUUAAUCAGGAAGCUGCCUCUACACAUUACUUGUGGGCAACUGGAAGUCAUAUCUACCCGAAGUGUAUCAUACUGUUGUUCAUUCGUUUGCAUUAGCUUCACGUGCGCAUUCGCUCAUUAGCUCACGGUGUUUAUUUUGUUAGCAUUCAUUAGCAAAGGGAACAGACUACUCUUAGCCGCCGCACAGCUGACCCAGUCUGAGCCGAAGGCUUCAGCUCGUCGCAUUCAACGUGGACACCUUGAGGAAUUUGUGGGACUGUGCUAGAAGCCGUCCAGCCAUCAGUCAGAGCUCCGUCCACUUCGCGGCAGGGACCACGCCACCUUGAUCUUCGUGGGCGACCGGCGAGACACCGGUGACGUCAUCAGCCGCCGAGGCCACGUCAUCGCUUGACCCCUGCUGACCCCUGCUGUUCAUCCGAGGCCGAGACACGCCUGGUUAAAGCUGCAGAUCGGACUCCGAACUGAACUAAAGCUCAUCCUCUCAUUGGCAUACCUCUCCUCUGUGCCCCACGUUGAUGAAGGCACACAUGGGCUGGAAGGCACCGGUGCCACAGGCCAGGAGGGCGGCCCACCGACUCCGCAUUGACAAACAGCAGCCGUGCCAAACCGAAGCGACACGCGAGAGAGCAUCUGGUUUCACUGUACGUGUCAAAUCUCGGCUAUCGCAUCACGUAGUCGCAGCCACUACAAAGACAUAUCCAGGCUAGCUGCUUCCGUCUGCCUCCAGUCUUUGUGCUAGGCUACGCCACAAGCAAACAGGUGAGAGUAGCAUUGUGGUUUUUUUCAUUCAACUCUGAGCAAAUUAGUAUUUUCUUAAAUGUCAAAGUAUUCAUUUAUGUCUGCAAAGAUGCUCUGUGUGAGAAAGACGUGUGGCAACUCAAACGCGAUAAUAAGGGAUUUUGUUGUGCACUUGUGUAACAAAAGCUGUCAUGAGAGGAGCUGCUGCUGAAACAAUUGACUAACUAUUCACAUUGCAAUUUCGAUUCUUCUGUAUGUCCGGCACAUAUUGCUAAAUUGAGAAUAAAGUUUGACUUGACUUGAUGUAUAAUCUAAUGGGGUUAUCAUUUUCUUUUAAAAGAAAGUUUCUUUAAAGUGUCCAUUCAUACACAGCUCCUGGUUUUUCAUUUCAAACUGGGCACUUGGUCACUGAUGUAUGUCAGUCCUCCUGCUUUUAUGGAGAGAGUAAAGGGCGUCUAAACAGAAAACCAACUAAAUUUGUUUGAGGGUUUGCAGCAUGUACUGUGCUUUUCACUGUGCAUGGCUGAGAACACUUCUUUAUCCUCUCCAGGUCCCUUCCUCAGGCACUCAUGUUAGGUCCAUCACUUAACCGCC